rnacentral:lncRNA from 1 species
GAAUUGUGAGUACAAAAUCUGAGGUCUGUGAUUGUAAAAAUAUGACUACGAAAUCUAAACUAUCAAAUCUGGGUGUUGAGGGGUUUCGAGAGACUAAGAAUGAAAGGUUUAUGAAGCCCUAAAAAAUUGUGGAGGUUCAAUAAACCCCAAAAUUGAGGUAAAUGUGUUUGGAAAUCUUUAUUGGGCUCAAAGAUGGAAGCUUUAAGGAAUCCAAAAAUAGAGGAACUCUUGUUAAACCAAACAAAUGGAUAUAAAUAUGUUUAGGAAGCGUUAAAUGCAAA